rnacentral:misc_RNA from 1 species
UUAAUGUGUAACUGGUAUGUUUGAAGAUAAAGUGCAGUCAUCAGUGACGUAGAUUAGCUGUCACAUUAUUUCUUCAUCAAUUCUUUGGUUCCAAGAGUAUUCAUUAAUGGAAAGUGUAUUGGUGGUGCUGAUGAAACUGAAGCCUUAAAUAUGUCAGGACAGCUUGAG